rnacentral:rRNA from 1 species
GGGUUGUGAGGUUAAGCGACUAAGCGUACACGGUGGAUGCCCGGCAGUCAGAGGCGAUGAAGGACGUGCUAAUCUGCGAUAAGCGUCGGUAAGGUGAUAUGAACCGUUAUAACCGGCGAUUUCCGAAUGGGGAAACCCAGUGUGAUUCGUCACACUAUCAUUAACUGAAUCCAUAGGUUAAUGAGGCGAACCGGGGAACUGAAACAUCUAAGUACCCGAGGAAAAGAAAUCAACCGAGAUUCCCCAGUAGCGGCGAGCGAACGGGGAGGAGCCCAGAGCCUGAAUCAGUGUGUGUGUUAGUGGAAGCGUCUGGAAAGGCGCGCGAUACAGGGUGACAGCCCCGUACACAAAAAACACAUGCUGUGAGCUCGAUGAGUAGGGCGGGACACGUGGUAUCCUGUCUGAAUAUGGGGACCAUCCUCCAAGGCUAAAUACUCCUGACUGACCGAUAGUGAACCAGUACCGUGAGGGAAAGGCGAAAAGAACCCCGGCGAGGGGAGUGAAAAGAACCUGAAACCGUGUACGUACAAGCAGUGGGAGCCUCUUAAUGGGGUGACUGCGUACCUUUGUAUAAUGGGUCAGCGACUUAUAUUCUGUAGCAAGGUUAACCGAAUAGGGGAGCCGAAGGGAAACCGAGUCUUAACUGGGCGUUAAGUUGCAGGGUAUAGACCCGAAACCCGGUGAUCUAGCCAUGGGCAGGUUGAAGGUUGGGUAACACUAACUGGAGGACCGAACCGACUAAUGUUGAAAAAUUAGCGGAUGACUUGUGGCUGGGGUGAAAGGCCAAUCAAACCGGGAGAUAGCUGGUUCUCCCCGAAAGCUAUUUAGGUAGCGCCUCGUGAAUUCAUCUCCGGGGUAGAGCACUGUUUCGGCAAGGGGUCAUCCCGACUUACCAACCCGAUGCAAACUGCGAAUACCGGAGAAUGUUAUCACGGGAGACACACGGCGGGUGCUAACGUCCGUCGUGAAGAGGGAAACAACCCAGACCGCCAGCUAAGGUCCCAAAGUCAUGGUUAAGUGGGAAACGAUGUGGGAAGGCCCAGACAGCCGUGAUGUUGGCUUAGAAGCAGCCAUCAUUUAAAGAAAGCGUAAUAGCUCACUGGUCGAGUCGGCCUGCGCGGAAGAUGUAACGGGCUAAACCAUGCACCGAAGCUGCGGCAGCGACACUAUGUGUUGUUGGGUAGGGGAGCGUUCUGUAAGCCUGUGAAGGUGGCCUGUGAGGGUUGCUGGAGGUAUCAGAAGUGCGAAUGCUGACAUAAGUAACGAUAAAGCGGGUGAAAAGCCCGCUCGCCGGAAGACCAAGGGUUCCUGUCCAACGUUAAUCGGGGCAGGGUGAGUCGACCCUAAGGCGAGGCCGAAAGGCGUAGUCGAUGGGAAACAGGUUAAUAUUCCUGUACUUGGUGUUACUGCGAAGGGGACGGAGAAGGCUAUGUUGGCCGGGCGACGGUUGUCCCGGUUUAAGCGUGUAGGCUGGUUUUCCGUGCAAAUCCGGAAAACCAAGGCUGAGGCGUGAUGACGAGGCACUACGGUGCUGAAGUGACAAAUGCCCUGCUUCCGUGAAAGCCUCUAAGCAUCAGGUAACAUCAAAUCGUACCCCAAACCGACACAGGUGGUCAGGUAGAGAAUACCAAGGCGCUUGAGAGAACUCGGGUGAAGGAACUAGGCAAAAUGGUGCCGUAACUUCGGGAGAAGGCACGCUGAUAUGUAGGUGAAGCGACUUGCUCGUGGAGCUGAAAUCAGUCGAAGAUACCAGCUGGCUGCAACUGUUUAUUAAAACACAGCACUGUGCAAACACGAAAGUGGACGUAUACGGUGUGACGCCUGCCCGGUGCCGGAAGGUUAAUUGAUGGGGUUAGCGGUAACGCGAAGCUCUUGAUCGAAGCCCCGGUAAACGGCGGCCGUAACUAUAACGGUCCUAAGGUAGCGAAAUUCCUUGUCGGGUAAGUUCCGACCUGCACGAAUGGCGUAAUGAUGGCCGUGCUGUCUCCACCCGAGACUCAGUGAAAUUGAACUCGCUGUGAAGAUGCAGUGUACCCGCGGCAAGACGGAAAGACCCCGUGAACCUUUACUAUAGCUUGACACUGAACAUUGAGCCUUGAUGUGUAGGAUAGGUGGGAGGCUUUGAAGUGUGGACGCCAGUCUGCAUGGAGCCGACCUUGAAAUACCACCCUUUAAUGUUUGAUGUUCUAACGUUGGCCCCUAAUCGGGGUUGCGGACAGUGUCUGGUGGGUAGUUUGACUGGGGCGGUCUCCUCCUAAAGAGUAACGGAGGAGCACGAAGGUUGGCUAAUCGGUCGGACAUCAGGAGGUUAGUGCAAUGGCAUAAGCCAGCUUGACUGCGAGCGUGACGGCGCGAGCAGGUGCGAAAGCAGGUCAUAGUGAUCCGGUGGUUCUGAAUGGAAGGGCCAUCGCUCAACGGAUAAAAGGUACCCGGGGAUAACAGGCUGAUACCGCCCAAGAGUUCAUAUCGACGGCGGUGUUUGGCACCUCGAUGUCGGCUCAUCACAUCCUGGGGCUGAAGUAGGUCCCAAGGGUAUGGCUGUUCGCCAUUUAAAGUGGUACGCGAGCUGGGUUUAGAACGUCGUGAGACAGUUCGGUCCCUAUCUGCCGUGGGCGCUGGAGAACUGAGGGGGGCUGCUCCUAGUACGAGAGGACCGGAGUGGACGUAUCACUGGUGUUCGGGUUGUCAUGCCAAUGGCACUGCCCGGUAGCUAAAUGCGGAAGAGAUAAGUGCUGAAAGCAUCUAAGCACGAAACUUGCCCCGAGAUGAGUUCUCCCUGAGACUUAGAGUCUCCUGAAGGAACGUUGAAGACGACGACGUUGAUAGGCCGGGUGUGUAAGCGCAGCGAUGCGUUGAGCUAACCGGUACUAAUGAACCGUGAGGCUUAACCUUACAACGCCGAAG